rnacentral:rRNA from 1 species
CCCAGACUCCUACGGGAGGCAGCAGUGGGGAAUAUUGCACAAUGGGGGAAACCCUGAUGCAGCGACGCCGCGUGAGUGAAGAAGCGUUUCGGCGCGUAAAGCUCUGUCAGCGGGGAAGAAACACGGUUCGCGAGAGCCGCGGACGGUACCCGACCAAGAAGCCCCGGCUAACUACGUGCCAGCAGCCGCGGUAAUACGGAGGAUGCGAGCGUUAUCCGGAUUUAUUGGGUUUAAAGGGUGCGUAGGCGGACGCUUAAGUCAGCGGUAAAAUUGCGGGGCUCAACCUCGUCGAGCCGUUGAAACUGGGUGCCUUGAGUGGGCGAGAAGUACGCGGAAUGCGUGGUGUAGCGGUGAAAUGCAUAGAUAUCACGCAGAACUCCGAUUGCGAAGGCAGCGUACCGGCGCCCAACUGACGCUGAAGCACGAAGGCGUGGGUAUCGAACAGGAUUAGAUACCCCGGUAAA